AGCGAACGCUGGCGGCAGGCCUAACACAUGCAAGUCGAACGAACUCUUCGGAGUUAGUGGCGGACGGGUGAGUAACACGUGGGAACGUGCCUUUUGGUUCGGAAUAACUCAGGGAAACUUGUGCUAAUACCGAAUGUGCCCUUCGGGGGAAAGAUUUAUCGCCAUUAGAGCGGCCCGCGUCUGAUUAGCUAGUUGGUGUGGUAACGGCUCACCAAGGCGACGAUCAGUAGCUGGUCUGAGAGGAUGACCAGCCACACUGGGACUGAGACACGGCCCAGACUCCUACGGGAGGCAGCAGUGGGGAAUCUUGCGCAAUGGGCGAAAGCCUGACGCAGCCAUGCCGCGUGAAUGAUGAAGGUCUUAGGAUUGUAAAAUUCUUUCACCGGGGACGAUAAUGACGGUACCCGGAGAAGAAGCCCCGGCUAACUUCGUG
rnacentral:rRNA from 1 species